CAGACUAGGAGACAGCAGCCCAGUCACAGCAGGAACCUCUCAGACAGCCCGGCGGCCUUCCUUCGCACCUGACGUGGAUUCUUAUUCCCGGACAUCCAAAAGAUAAAUGCAGAUGGAUAAAAUCCAUAGCAGAGCACCCCAUCCCAGGAAAUAAAGCCUUCUAGCAGCAGUCAAGGCGAGGUGGUCAAGGCAAUCCAUUUGGAGUACACAUAACUCCCCGUCAGACACUGGCCGACGGACCGUGAUUGUUGUUUUUUGGAGCCCUGUGGAAGUAUUACAGGACUCGGCGAUGAAGCCUCUGCCUUUUCGAUUUAAAGGAGUCACCCGGAGAGACUUUGGCAAUGCCGAGGAGUCACGGCGAGUCGGGAAUAGGGAGGAGCAGCGGGGGUCCACUCCGGUUUCAGCGACACCGCAUCACCUUCUCUCCUCUCAAGCGAGGCGAACCCCGUGACGACAGCGUCAGCCUCCGAGUGCAGCCAAAUCGUCCAGCCCAAGGAGGCUGGCAUUGUUAUGAGAACGG